rnacentral:rRNA from 1 species
AGUGAACGCUGGCGGUAGGCCUAACACAUGCAAGUCGAACGGCAGCACAGUAAGAGCUUGCUCUUACGGGUGGCGAGUGGCGGACGGGUGAGGAAUACAUAGGAAUCUACUUUUUCGUGGGGGAUAACGUAGGGAAACUUACGCUAAUACCGCAUAUGACCUACGGGUGAAAGCAGGGGAUCUUCGGACCUUGCGCGAUUGAAUGAGCCGAUGUCGGAUUAGCUAGUUGGCGGGGUAAAGGCCCACCAAGGCGACGAUCCGUAGCUGGUCUGAGAGGAUGAUCAGCCACACUGGAACUGAGACACGGUCCAGACUCCUACGGGAGGCAGCAGUGGGGAAUAUUGGACAAUGGGCGCAAGCCUGAUCCAGCCAUACCGCGUGGGUGAAGAAGGCCUUCGGGUUGUAAAGCCCUUUUGUUGGGAAAGAAAAGCAGCAGGUUAAUACCCCGCUGUUCUGACGGUACCCAAAGAAUAAGCACCGGCUAACUUCGUG